rnacentral:tRNA from 2 species
GGGUCUUUAGCUCAGCUGGUAGAGCAACUCGUUUACACCGAGUAGGUCAUCGGUUCGAUCCCGGUAGGACCCACCA